rnacentral:lncRNA from 1 species
GUACGCUUAAAGAGCAUCUAUACGACUCUGACUUGCCUCCAUUGACAUGGAAACAAAGACUAGAAAUCUGCAUUGGAGCAGCUAGAGGAUUGCAUUACCUACACAGCAGUGGAACAGAAGGAGCAAUCAUACACAGAGACGUCAAAUCCACAAACAUACUACUAGACGAGAACACAACAGCUAAAGUCGCCGACUUUGGACUCUCCAAACUCACAAUUCGUAAUCAAGAUCAAACCCAUAUGAGCACAAACAUCAAAGGAACAUUUGGUUACCUCGAUCCAGAGUACCUCUCAACACACAACUUAACCGAGAAAUCAGAUGUUUACGCCUUCGGUGUCGUCCUCCUCGAGGUCCUAUGCGCGAGACCAGCUCUGAAUCCUUACCUCCCACACGAAGAAGUGAAUCUCGCGGAGUGGGCGUUGUACUGCAAAUCAAACGGAGUAAUCGAUGAGAUCGUGGAUCCGAAUCUGAUAGGUCAAAUCGAGAUGAACUCUCUGCUGAAAUUCAUGGAAAUAGCGGAGAAAUGUUUGAGAGAGUAUGGAGAUCAGAGACCGAGUAUGGCGGAUGUGAUUUGGGAUCUGGAGUAUGUUCUUCAGCUUCAGACGAUGACGAUUCGUAGAGAGGCUCAUGAUGAAGAAGAUAGUACGGCG